rnacentral:rRNA from 1 species
AGUGAACGUUGGCGGCGUGGAUUAGGCAUGCAAGUCGAGCGAUCGUAGCAAUACGGGAGCGGCAAACGGGGGUAGGAAUACAUCGGAACGUACCUUUUGGUUGAGAAUAGCGUUGGGAAACUGACGGUAAUACUCAAUAAAGUCGAGAGACCAAAGGUUUACUGCCGGAAGAGCGGCCGAUGCGAUAUUAGGUAGUUGGUGGGGUAAUGGCCUACCAAGCCUGAGAUGUCUAGGGGGUGUGAGAGCAUGGCCCCACCACUGGGACUGAGAUACUGCCCAGACACCUACGGGUGGCUGCAGUCGAGGAUCUUCGUCAAUGGGCGAAAGCCUGAACGAGCGACGCCGCGUGCGGGAUGAAGGCCCUUGGGUUGUAAACCGCUGUCAGGGGGGAUGAAACCGUAAGGUUGACAGAGCCCCAGAGGAAGCACGGGCUAAGUUCGUGCCAGCAGCCGCGGUAAU